CCCUUAGAUGUUCUGGGCCGCACGCGCGCUACACUGACGAAGUCAGCGAGCAUGUCCUACGCCGACAGGUGCGGGGAAUCUUGUCAAACUUCGUCGUGAUGGGGAUUGAUUAUUGAAAUUCUUGAUCAUCAACGAGGAAUUCCUAGUAAGCGCAAGUCAGCAGCUUGCGUUGAUUACGUCCCUGCCCUUUGUACACACCGCCCGUCGCUACUACCGAUUGAAUGGUUUAGUGAGAUCUUCGGAUUGGCGCCACUGCGGCUCAGCAAUGGGCUCGGUGGAUACCGAAAAGUUGAUCAAACUUGAUCAUUUAGAGGAAGUAAAAGUCGUAACA
rnacentral:rRNA from 1 species